ACUGGUUGGAUCUCUUGCAGUCCAAGGGACUCUCAAGAGUCUUCUUAAGCACCACAGCUCUAAAGCAUCAAUUCUUUGGAGCUCAGCCUUCUUUAUGAAAUGCAGUCAAAUCAGCGACCUGAGAAAAGUGAAGUUUGUGUAUUCUCACCAGUCCCCGACCUCUGUCCGACGUCUGACCGACCAGGACAAUUACGCUGAGCUGCUUUCAAAGGGCGCGGAGUUCCAGGGAGAUGUUUCUACCUCCGAGAACCAUCCUGUGGUCUCCCCGCUUCCUCCUCACACCCAGCCCAGGCAGAGAAGUGGGCAGAAGAUAGAGAAACUUGAACGAGGUCCAGAAGCAGUGGACCCCACGACAAAGGCGUUCUUCACCCAUCGGUGCGUCUAGCGGGUCCACCCCUGAGCCCAAGACUCCAGUGGCAAAUUCCAGGGGCCGGUGAGAGACAGUGUAGUUAGACGGUUGCCCCGCAGGGAGAGCAGGUCUCUCUGGACAGAGAAGAUGGCUUAGGGUUUCCACGUUGUUUCAGGGGUUCCUGUUUUAUUCCAUCUGGGCUUUGGUUUCCGAGCUUUCAUGCUUUUAGAUCCCAUGCAGGUGAGCAGCCAGAUGGGGGCUGGGAGUCCUGGCUUAGGAGAAGAGCCCGUCUGCAGAUCCCAGGGAGGCCCCCACCGCAGACCCUGGGGCGGCACCCACUGCAGACCCCGGGGCGAGCUCCAUCCACAGACCCCGGCGCAGCCCCUACCUCAGACCCUGGGGUGGACCCCACCGCAGACCCCGGGGAGGCCCCCACCACAGACCCUGGGGUGGGCUCCAUCCACAGACCCUGGGGCGGCUCCAUCCACAGACCUUGGGGAGGCCC